rnacentral:lncRNA from 1 species
UUCCAUUAUUGCAAAAGUGCAAUCCUACCCAGGAGUCCUGCAGGUUCUCCUCCUGCAGUUCAGGGACCCUGCUCCAUAAUGUGACACUGGAGUGCAGCUGUGGUGGUUGGAGUCCAUGUGGAAUGUGGGCUGCCAGCUGUGUGCUGUGAGCUGUGCCUCAAUGGUAGAUGGAAGGGGAAGAGAUGGGACACAGGCCACCAGGACAGGGCAAGCAGGAUUGCUGCAGCCCAUGGCCUAGGGAGUAGGGACCCUUUGCUUUGAAAUGUAAAUAGCCAAAAGAAUAGUAUCCUAUCUCACAGUGUCUGUAAAAGAACCAGAGCCUACUUUCAGCAGGCACCUGGCUGUAAGUUGCAAAACUACCUCCUAUCGUGAAGAUGUGAGAAGUUUAUUUUUCCUUUCAAUAUAACUAAUUAACAUACACAGAUGGCCUCCCCAAUUACCAGGUGAACUUAGGAUAAACUGUGUAUGAAAAAUGAUGCCAUGAAAUCUUCCACUUGAGGACUAAUUAUGGAGACCUUUCUGUCUUUGCAAUCUCUUGAGCAGAUUGUCUGUGAUUCAUGUCACAUAACA